GAUGAACGCUGACAGCAUGCUUAACACAUGCAAGUCAACUGGUGGCGGACGCGUGAGUAACGCGUAAAGAACUUACCUCACAGUUAGGGACAAGAUUUGGAAACGAAUGCUAAUACCUAAUCCUGUGGUAGAGCUUUGCGUCCCAUGAGCUAGUUGGGGAGGUAACGGCUCACCAAGGCGAGGAUGGGUAGCCGGCCUGAGAGGGUGAUCGGCCACAAGCGGACUGGGGCACCGCCCGUAGUGCAUCGGGAAGCAGGAGUGGGGAAUAUAGGAAGAUGGACCGAAAUAUGAACCAGCAAUUCUGUGUGUAAGAUAAAGUUUUCGGAAUGUAGGGUGCUUUCAGUUGAGAAGCGGUACCAGCAGAAGAAGUGACGGCUAACUACGUGCCAGCAGCCGCGGUAAUUC
rnacentral:rRNA from 1 species